UACUUAUUACAGGUCUUUUAAAAUUUGUCUAGCAGGUUUUCCAAUAUUUACUGGAAACCCUCC
rfam:Homo sapiens chromosome 13, GRCh38 reference primary assembly.